AAUGUUGAUACUGCUCCUACAUUGCUCUUUGCAUAUCUUUAUGGAGUUUGCACAUUCUCCCUGUGUCUGAGUGGGUUUCCUCCAGGUGCUCCAGUUUCCUCACACAGUGCAAAGAACUGCAGGUCAGGUGGAUUUGCCACGGUAAAUGUAGUGUUUCCUGUGUGGAAUAGGGUCGGUGCAGUCCUGAUAUGCCGAAUGGCCUCUUUCUGCACUGUUGUGAUCCUACGAUAUCCUGGAGAUUAAUCAUCAAUUCCUGGAAACUCUAGGCCAAUUCUUGAAGACUGGCAACUCGAGGCGUGAUAGACUCCAAAGUGACGGCACAUUUAAUUUUGGAGCUGUAGACAGUAUCUGCUUGGCUCAGGCCCAAUUCCAUUUGUCGUCAGAAUUCUUGUGAUCACAAGUCUAUAUGAGAAUAUAUUAACAGAUUUCUGACUUCUUGUUCAAUUACUGGCUUCUUUAUCUGGACUCACUCAACAAAUCAAACUAUAGCUUACCAGCCUGCCUAACUGAUUUCAUUAUAAGCUGUCCGGUGUAAAUGUAUUUUUGGCAGUUUUUUUUUACUCCAAGGGUCAGGAGAUUGAAUUGGAAAGGAUGGGGUAGAAGGGUUGUUGGGAAUUUGUAAUUUAAUCUAUGAGGUCUGGCUCACUGCACAGUGGGUGGAUCUCAUACUGAUUCCUUUACGGUAUACAAACAAUGUGCUGAAAUUAUAAGGAGGUCCAAGAAUAUGAAAAUGAAGUGGGAAAGGAGUGGCCUUAGCUGCUCACACAAGCCAAACUGUUAGAAAAGAAGACAUUUGGAGGGGAGAAGACUGAGAGGUGGUGAACCCCUUGUGCCUUUCGCAUGAAUUGUUGGUUAUAAGAAUCAAACUGUGGGGUGCACAAAAUCACGAGGAGCGUGUACAGUGUCUACGAAAGAUUGGAUUUCUGACAGUUUUUGAAACUGCUGCUGAAGGGUACACUCCAGAAAACAGAGCUGAACUGGAUCCUCUCUGAAGCCAGACAUGACAUCAUACCAGAGGUCACGGCUGGGGUGGAGGGGGUGCAGUUUUGCGUGAGUGAUGAGGUGGGUGGCACUGGUAAGUUGCCCAUCCCUAAUUGCCUGACAUUUUCUGUAAUGGUUUGGUCUAACUGAGUAGCAUUACGGCCAUUCCAGAAGGCUACUCAUAAUCAAUCUGCUGAGAGCCUGGAGUCAAAUGAAGACCAGACAAGCAUUUCCUUUGCUUUGGGUAUUUUAAUGGAAUUAAACCAAGCAGAGUCUUGCCAGCAUUUACCAAACAACUAUCAGCAGUUGGCUUGAUGUUCCUGGGGCCAAGGACCAAAGUGAAACAUAUCCAUGGGCACCAUCCAGUUGAUUGUCUACAUGGUCAUUCUUCUAGAAAGCACUCGAAAGGUGAGCAGAGACUGUAGAACAUUGGAGUACAAAAGGAGCAUCAGAGUCAAGCUUAAUUCAAACCAUGAUCCCAUCCAGCAUUAGUCAUCAGUCAAGAACAAUGGUCAACUUUUCGUUAGCCAAAGCCCCAACUGCUGAGGAUUAUAACCAAAACUCAACAACUGCUCUAGAUCAGGUCACUUCGAACAGCACAGAGCUGUAAGCAAACAUCGCCUACCUCAUCCAAUUGCUGAAUUAUCAAAAGACCUUCAAAGAACUAAUUCAACAACUGUAUAAAUUUAGUUAAGCAUUUGGUUAUUU